UGGCAUAUUUAUUUUUUUGAAAGCUGUUGUAGAUAUUUUAAAAUAACUUUAGACGUCUGGUAGAUAGCUGUAUACCAGUUUCAUCUAUUAACAAUGUAGUUUUUAUUUCUCAAGAUUAAUUCGUAUAUAUAUUGAUGUUUCAGUUAAUUUAGUGAAAACGAAUGAGCAUUGUAGCUGUUCUAAUACAUUGGAUAUGGCCAAUUUUUCUAGAGCAAGACUUGACAAGGUAGAUCAUUCCAUACAUAAACAAGGUCUCACUCUAUGUGGAAGAGGUAAUGCGAAAUUAAUUUACAUCUUAUCUAUCUCACAGAUCCCAAUUUGUCACCAUUUAAGAGAAGUCUUCUAAAAAUUUAAUUAUUAAACAUGGAGUCAGUCAG